CGGAGCGAUUUAUUUCGGUAAAUCACUUAGUGGCAAACCGGGUGAGUAACGCGUAGGCAACCUGCCCUCAGGAUGGGGACAACGGCUCGAAAGAGCCGCUAAUACCGAAUGACGUAACUCUUCCACAUGGAAGAGAUACUAAAGAUGGGUCAAACCAUCGCCUAAGGAUGGGCCUGCGUCUGAUUAGCCAGUUGGUGAGGUAACGGCUCACCAAAGCGACGAUCAGUAGCCGGUCUGAGAGGAUGAACGGCCACAAUGGGAGUGAGACACGGCCCAUACUCCUACGGGAGGCAGCAGUGGGGAAUCUUCCGCAAUGGGCGAAAGCCUGACGGAGCAACGCCGCGUGAGUGAAGAAGGUCUUCGGAUCGUAAAGCUCUGUUGUCGGGGACGAAAGAGUAGACGAGGUUU
rnacentral:rRNA from 1 species